CUAAAAUAGUUUUUUCUUUGUAUUUUUAAAAAUAAAAUUAACAAUGGAUAGGAGACACUUGUCCUCCUCCAAGCAUCAGUGACCUCCAGGAACAGUGGCCUUUCCUUUUCAACUUUUUAAAAAGCCAAAAUACCAAGUUGAGAAGAGAGAUCCAGUGCCUGCUGAAUGAAAUCGAUGGUUACAUCAAAGGCAAUGACGAUCUAACAGCCACUGCUGCCAUUCAUUUGUUGAUGACCCACUUCAAAGAGAAGGACAAAUCUCUGUUCCUCUUGGCAGAAGUCACUGCAACUCGGGUUGAUGUCGAGGCACAAAUUCCUUUUCCAGACACACCAAGGCUGACCAUGCUUGGAAAUACUCUAUUGGGUUCCUCAAAAUGGAUGGUGUCGAUCGAGGGGAGAGGGGUCUGUGGUUUGGACAGUGAGUCCAACUUUGCUGCUGCCCUCUAUGCUCUUCAGCACCUCUGCAACCUUGGAGCUGAUACAGAGGUUCCUGGUUCGAAAAACCCCUGAAGGAACCAAGUGCACAGCGAAAGCAGGAGUGAGCCGCAAGACCCGAAAGGUCGUUCAGAGAAAGCCAUUGCCAAUUAACCCACAUGUUACACGCUUUCUCGCAGACCUGAAGGAGUUCGAGUGGAAAAACUCCAACAUUUGACGUAUCAGAGCUAAGGAGGAUUGGGGUGAUAAUCUGCACGCCACCGAGACUUGUUUGCAUCUUUCAUUCUCUCAGAAAUCCUACAAUGCUGGUUGCGUCAGCAAAUGAUCUGGUUGUGCCAUCCCGGAGCGUGUUUUGGCUUGCGGUAGCGUGCUUCUCUGGCUCCAAUCUAGCCCUGCUCGCUCCUCUCUGUCCAUCCUUCUCUCUCAGCCCCUUUCUCUCUCGAUUUCUCUUUCAAAGACAGGCAGGCAAGGAGUUCUUGUUAUAGUUUUUUUGUAAACAUUUCUCCCUGUUCAACUGUUGUUUUCCUAUUUUUAAUUGAUCUGUUUAGAUUUAAUUUUUUUCUUACAUAAUCUUGUAUUUUCAAGAAUGACCUAUUCUGAUGUCUAUUGCCAGUAUUUGUCAAUGUUCUUAUCACUGAAUCUCUCUCUGUCUCUUUCUCUCCCAUAAUAUCUGGAGUUGUAAUGUUGCUCUCUUCAAAUGUUGUUCUUUGUGGUUA